GAAAUGGGCACGCUGAUAUUUUCUCAUUACAGCCAACUGUUAUUUUCUUCCUCUGCUGGAGACGCAAAUGUAAUAAAAGAAGGCAAGGCAGUCCAGAGGAGCUCAUUCUCCAAAGUUUCACACGCCGCAGGUCUGCCGUGCCCCUCUCUGCCAAGUCUGCAGAAACUGAGGGGCACUUUAUCCUCAGGAACGGAAGAUUGAUGACCAUUCCGCUACUGACGACACUUCCACUAUCCUCCCUCCUAGACUCUCCCCUUCCUACCUGGAGCCCAUAUGACAAGAAGUUCAGCCAUUUUGAGGCACUUCAAUUCUGGGCUCCCGUCUUGUUGUGUGUUUUUCAUUGUUGUUCUCUUUCAGUUGUACGGGGUCACCAAGGUGUUUCGUAUCCUCUUGACAAUGGCUUCAUAUCAAAUGAGAUGUUUAAAGCAGGUGUGUCAGACUCAGAACACGGAAGGCCACGGUGGACGUAGGUUGUCAUUUCAGACACUUUUCUCCUUUAAUCAACAAUCCCUAAGAAUCACUAAUGCUAAUGGAACAGACUGUGUGGGUCUUGAUAUUAGUUGACUUACAUUUUAAUAGUUUCAUUUUUUUUUUAUCAACAUCCAAGCAAUAAUGAGAUGUAAAGCCAGACAAAAGAUGACGAGCUAGCAUUUACACCUGUGUUUUAGAUACAAUAUCCAUUGUAACAUUUGAAGGCAUAUGAGAAAAAAGACAAGGACUGUGACUGCAAAAUGAACACAAUGAAGAGCCAUAGAAUUAAUAAUAAUAAUAAAAAAAAAUGCUAAACAGGAGACAUGACAAUGGUGGCCACUCCGGGUUGUGUGAGACCCUCUAGUCAACUCUUGGCUCGCUUUGGCACUUCUUCAUUGUUGAGCUCAACAGCUUAGAUGGAAAAAAAGGUAUCGACUGAUGUCCUGCUGUGAGUAACUGCAGUUCAGAAUUAUGAAACGUAACAUUUUUGAAAGACGUAUCUGAUGGUGAGUUAAAAAUCUCUGUUGAAAUGUUGAGGUAAAAUUGUUGUUCAAGUUCUUAAGUUAAAAUCUUGACUUACAAACCAGAGUGCACAUUAAGAUCUCAAGAUGCCGGUCUGCUCAUGAUUCCAAGGAUUAAUAAAAUAACAGUGGGAGGUUGAGCUUUAAGUUACAGGGGGUCCCUAAACUUUGGACUAGUCUGACUGUUACUAUAAGAGUUUAUCAGUUUAGCACACCCUGACUAGAGCUGCUGAUUAACUGUACAGACUGCA